CUAUGGCCAUAUCACGUUGAAACAUCGAUUCCCGUACGAUCACCGAAGUUAAGCAACGUCGAUCCUGGACAGUAUCUAGAUGGUAACCGCUUGGGAAUAGUAAGUGCUGUAA